rnacentral:rRNA from 1 species
UACAGAGGGUGCUAGCGUUGUUCGGAAUCAUUGGGCGUAAAGGGCGUGUAGGCGGUUUGUUAAGUCAUGUGUGAAAUCCCUCGGCUCAACCGGGGAAGGACGCAUGAAACUGGCAAGCUAGAGUACCAAAGAGGGGGGUGGAAUUCCCGGUGUAGCGGUGAAAUGCGCAGAGAUCGGGAGGAACACCCGUAGCGAAGGCGGCACUCUGGGCCGAUACUGACGCUGAGGAGCGAAAGCGUGGGGAGCAAACAGG